rnacentral:rRNA from 1 species
GUCGAACGAGAAAGUCCCGCAAGGGAUGAGUAAAGUGGCGCACGGGUGAGUAAUACGUAGGUAACCUGCCUCUAAGACCGGGAUAACCUGUCGAAAGACGGGCUAAUACCAGAUAAGAUCACAGGAGCUUCAGCUCCAGGGAUCAAAGGUGGCCUCUGCAUGCAAGCUAUCGCUUAGAGAUGGGCCUGCGCACCAUUAGCUAGUUGGUAAGGUAACGGCUUACCAAGGCAAAGAUGGUUAGCUGGUCUGAGAGGAUGAUCAGCCACACUGGGACUGAGAUACGGCCCAGACUCCUACGGGGGGCAGCAGUGGGGAAUCUUGGGCAAUGGGCGAAAGCCUGACCCAGCAACGCCGCGUGGGUGAUGAAGGCCUUCGGGUCGUAAAGCUCUGUCGGAAGGAACGAAUUCUCUUGGGGUAAAUAAUCCCAGGAAGUGACGGUACCUUCAAAGGAAGCACCGGCUAACUCCGUGCCAGCAGCCGCGGUAAUACGGAGGGUGCAAGCGUUGUUCGGAAUCAUUGGGCGUAAAGGGCGUGUAGGCGGUUCGUUAAGUCACGUGUGAAAUCCCUCGGCUUAACCGAGGAAGGGCGCGUGAAACUAGC